GUUGUCGUGGCCGAGUGGUUAAGGCGAUUGACUAAAAAUCCAUUGGGGUCUUCCAGUGUAGGUUCAAAUCCUGUCAAGAACA